rnacentral:rRNA from 1 species
CGUAGGAUGCAAGCGUUAAUCGGAAUUACUGGGCGUAAAGCGUGCGCAGGCGGUUAUGUAAGACAGGUGUGAAAUCCCCGGGCUUAACCUGGGAACUGCAUUUGUGACUGCAUAGCUAGAGUACGGUAGAGGGGGAUGGAAUUCCGCGUGUAGCAGUGAAAUGCGUAGAUAUGCGGAGGAACACCGAUGGCGAAGGCAAUCCCCUGGACCUGUACUGACGCUCAUGCACGAAAGCGUGGGGAGCAAACAGGAUUAGAUACCCUGGCAGUCCACGCCCUAAACGAUGUCAACUGGUUGUUGGGUCUUCACUGACUCAGUAACGAAGCUAACGCGUGGAGUUGACCGCCUGGGGGAGUACGGCCGCAAGGUUG